AACUAAUGUUUUGGUGCCUCCUUCCUUGUCUUUCUGUAGUUUUUGUGUUUCAGCUGCAGCAAUAGAAAUGGUUGAGAAGAGGAAAAAGAGGAAGAAGAGGAAGCGAUCCAAUUCCAUAAGGGAGCCGCUCAACUUUGGUGUUGAAAAGACACAAAGCGAGCUGACUGUGGAGCCGUCCAGCUAUCCGAUGUGUAUGGAGGUUUUGAGUGAUCCAGUGCGUUUGACUUGUUCAAAAACAGAGCUUACUCCACUGCACUGCUCUGCGCUGGCCGACAUGCUGCAGGUAUCGAAAGACAAUCUGCAUGUGUUGGACUUGAAGAAAUUCAACACAUCAGAGGAAGGCUGAAGGAGGCUGAUACCAGCUGUGAGGACCAGCAGAAAGGCCAUACUGGCAGACUGCAAAGUGACUGAAGAAUGGGUCAAACAUCUGGCCUUUGGUCUCAAGUUCCCCUACUCAGCUCUGAGGGAUCUGGAUCUGAGCAACAAUGACCUAAAAGAUUCAGGAGUAAAGCUGCUCUGUGAUGGACCAUGAUAUUGUCCUUUUGUGGUGGCAAAUUUUAUUUUAACCAUUAUUGAUUAAUGAUUUUAACCAUUUGUUUAAAGAUUGUUUUACACCUCCCCAAAAUUCUGUUCCUUCCUCUUAAGACUUAAAGACCAGAGAGGGACAGCUGCAGCCAUGAACUCUCAGCCUAGUAGUUUUAUUUUUAAGAAACUAGCUUCUCAUUUUGUUUUAACUUAUAGCAGAUAAAGUGAAGAAGGCCAUAAACUGUCUUAACCCUGUCUCCUUCUGCCUCGUGAGAUAAAUUGUUGUUUAGGCUAAUGUUAGGAACAGAGAGCAGAGGGGAAGGUGAGACAAUGGGGUGACUGUAAUGAUGUCCUCUUUUCAACUAUGGCCAUGCUAAAAGAUACGUUUAGAGGGGUGGCUAAACAGAGGUUUUUACUAUAUGAUGUUUGAAUGUUUAGACUUUAGGUUAGAAAUGCUCAUUCAGUCGUGCUGCGUGUACCUGUGAAUCUGUAUUUCUCAAUUUUGCACAAUGUAAUAAAUGCUCAAAGACCAGACUUUGGUUUAAUUCUCAAA